AUAAAGGCUUAGAUUAGGAAUAGUAGAAUGAAAAAGAAAUUCUCAGAGAGUUGACGUUUGGUGAGAGUCAAUAAUUUCAAUUAUUUGAACUCGCCUAUGAGCUGUUGCUUGAUAAUGUAGAGCAUAUCGGAAUUCUCCGUUAUAAGAAUAGAUAGUGUUGGCUAUUGAAAAAGUGGACUUUUGUUUAGUUAUGAACUUUAGUUUUAUAUAAUUAUAUAUAAAGUCAAAUAGAGUGGUACCACGGGAAUACAACCUCGUCUCUUUA
rnacentral:ncRNA from 1 species